rnacentral:rRNA from 1 species
UCUGUAGGUCGCUUAUGAAGUCUAUUGUUAAAUUCCAGGGCUUAACCUUGGGCAGGCAAUAGAGCACUCAUCUGCUAGAGUGUGGGAGAGGUAGGGGGAACUCCUCGUGGAGAGGUGAAAUUCGUAGAUAUUCGGAGGAACACCAGUGGCGAAGGCGGCUUACUGGUCCAUUACUGACGCUGAGGUGCGAAAGCGUGGGGAGCAAACA